AAGAGGAUGGGCGUUAGCUCUUAGGAGUCUGGCAAAAUGACCCUUUUCUCUUCCUCCCUCCCUUCCUUCCUGAAGGCCCAACAUUUGUUGAGCACCUACUAUGUGUUAGUUCCCUGACACCUGCAUGUAAUUUACAUGUAGUUACAUUUAAUUCUCCCAGUGGCCCUGGGAACCUGGUAUUAUUAGUCUUACGUCAGACCAGGAGAUUAAGAUCGCACAGCUAUGAAGUGGCUUAUCUUGAAUUCGAACCCAGAUCCAUCUGGCUUUAAAGCGAUUUCUAUUACACUGUCUGUCUGGGGUCAAGGUCAAGAGAACCAAGGACACAAGAGAAAAUAAAAGAGAUAUACAGUACAGACGGGCUGAGGGAAUGGAAAGAAAAAUAUUCUGGGGAAGGGUGCUCUGGUUUUGAUAGAGACUCAGAGCGCAAUUCAGAGCUGGGAGACACACCACUGAAAGUCAUGGUGGAUGUUCUCUAAAGGCCAAAAAACAGAAAUGACAAUGAAAUACUACAAUGUAAACGAUUCCCCAAGUUGACAGCAACAUACCAUCACCCCUGAAGCAAUUGCCCAGUGCACUCCUGGACUAGCAGACCUGUGCUAGCUAUACCAGGGGAAGUUCAUAGCAGGCUUUUUGUUUUCCUUUGUAAAUUUUCUUAUUGUCUGAAGCUCAGACAAGUUCCUAAGUUCUGUGAGUCAGCAGGGCUAACAGGAAGGGAUGAUCAGGUGACCAGUUACUCAUGAACAAAUAUGAGGAAAUCCAGAAAACUGGGGAGAGGGCAGCAACAUCCAAAUGGCAGGAUUUGGGGUCUCCUGGUUGUGGGGGCACAGGGAAGGGUAUGUGUGGCAGCACGCCUGCGGACCCCUCUGAAGAAAUAUGCUUGCUUCGUCUAUAUUGAAAUUUGGCUGUGGGAGAGUCUUCCACUCACUCUGGCCUCUGCAUGUGCCACCAGGCCCUGAAGUGCUCCUUUCGGUGCUCUCCAGCAAGGGGAUGCAGUGGGCAGACCCACAGAUUUGUGUAUCAUCUGAAGAAAUUUCCAGAUCGAAUGGAUUCAAGGACAAAGACAGAUGAAAGCAGACUCUGUAGUGAAUAUUGGAAGACUGUGCUUCUUAGGCACGAAGAAAGUGGUACGCCUGGACAGAUCUCCACAGGCCUAAUUGUUUCUCUUAGUCACCACUCAUUCAAAUGAGCUCGUUGGAAUAAAGGCAUUCUUUGAAAUGAAGUGUGAUAGAAGCACCGGGAAAUGAUGACACAGCUUCUGAAACAUCACAACUUUACUAGAAUCUGUGGCAAUGGCCAAUGAGACACAAGAAAGAAUGUUUCUGAAAAACCUUGGCUUACUGGAGCCACUGAAGUCAGCAUAACAUGCAAACAAUGUUUAUUAGGGGCUUAAAUUGAAUGAGACCUUUUGAGAUGAUAAAGUGUAUCGAUAGGGCAUGAGAUGGCUGGACAAGGAAAUUUAGCUUCCUUCUACAUCACAGCUGUGAACAUAUCUGAGUAAUUAUCUGAUGUAUAAGAUAGUGAGGAUGAAAAACUAUCAAUGAAUAGUGGAAAGUCCUGUGGUUUCCUUGGGUCGAGUGACUUUCUUCACGGCUACAUCUUGUCUUUCCUGUUUUUGAUAGGGCCAAGAAGAUUCAGCAAAUACUCCAGAACAUUUUCCUACUGGAAAAGCCACAUAAUUCCAGUUCCAUAUCCCUGCUCUGCAUGAGGUAUAGGGUGGUGGUUUACAACUGGUGGGUGACUUUGUCUCUGUUCCACCCAAUAACAUUUGGCAGUGUCUGGGGAUAUUUUUUGGUUGGCACAGAGGUGCCACUGGCAUUAUUAGGUAGAGAUCAGGGUGCUUCUAAAUGACUUACAAGGUACAGGACAGCUUCUCUCUACUUAAAAAGAACUGUCUGGCUCAAAACGCCAAUAGUAAUUAUCUCCAUAAAAAAAAAAACAAAAACAAAACUCAAUUAAAAAAGUAUCCAAAAAGUGCCAGUAUUGGGAACCCCUGGUCUAAGGCUAUGCUUCCAGACCCCACCCUGGAAGGACUGGUCUGUCUCAAAGAGUCACGUGACUAACUGCCUGGUGUGGGUCUGUGAGGUAACUUACAGGUGACAAACACUGAACGAUACUUUGCAGCUCCAUGGUGAGGCGAGGGUACCAUGGCUGGAAGCUCGGCCCAGUGGACUGGUUCAGAUGGCAACCUGAACAGAAGCAGAGCCGUUCUGGGACAUUCCCGAGAGCUACGGGUUUGACCUCGGAAUAGCUUACGGGAAAGGCCCUUGGUGACCUCCACUCAUGGGGCAGCCCACUUCUCUACAGAUGCAGGGAUGCCAGCUCAUUAGAAUCAGGCAAAAAACAUCAAUGAGUGACAUUCGUGGUCAUAAAAGGGUCCUGAACAACAGGUUAUAGAGAUGUGAGUGGAGACUAUAAGGACUCAGAAAUGUGAGGUGGGCAUGGAACGCAUGUACCAGCUGGAAAGCAUGCUGUUUUUGUGCUGACUGCAGGAAGGUCUGGGUCCUAUAGGAAUGAAAGGGGAACUUGCCUUACCUGAUGUCCCUAGAUAACAGAUACAUUUUCCCCAACUUGCUAUUAUUUUUGAUAUGGCUAAGAUUUUUAAACAGCAUCAAUUUUAUAUAAUAUAGGGAACUUGGUAGAUUUAAUGAAGCUUCCAAACGCCCCUUGAGAGAUGAUUACAGCUCUAAUUAAAAAUGGAGGAUGACAGACAAGAAUCCCAUGAGACUCUCUAAGCAAGUGGCAUUCGUACACUUUCUUUUAUGGACAAGAUUACUUUGUUCAUGUCCGUCUGGGCUCCUUCUAGCAAUAAACAUUAUUGUUGCUAAAUUCUAAUACAUUAUGAUAUUUAAUGUGGUUCAAAGAUCAGGAAAUAUUUAAAGCUGUAAGGGACAAAAAUGUUUAUAAGCCAAGCCAGACUUUCACUUAUUUCAUAUACCUGUACUUACCAUCUCCAUGAUUACAUAUGGCCUAGAUUAGACACUAAAUGAAAUCUUAGUGUCUAAUCUAGGCAUGGAAAAGAAUAUGGGAGGACUGGUGGGGCAGAUGAGGAUUAGGGCUCCACACUCAGACAUGGCUUUAGGGACCAGGUAGGUAUGGCAACUCAGAGAAGGUAGUGGAGACAGAAAUCUAGGGAAUGAAAUGAUUUUUUAAAACAUUAUCAAGUAGGUCUUGAAAGUCCAGGUGGUCAAAUACGUAGGCUCAGGAGAUCAGGGGUACUGAGACAUCAGUUUUAGAAGACAAAACUACUAAUAGGAGCUUGUCUUAUCACGAGAAGCCUGGGCUUUUAACCAACAUCGUCUAAUCUCUAUAGUGCUGGCUAGUCUUUGGAGAGUCUUGAUCCUACAUAAGUCCUGAAAAGGGGGUCGUACCCCUUAGUCUCCCUGGUGGAGGUGCAGGUGUAGGGUAUAGUGAGAAAGAGCCAGAAGCAAAACCUGAGAGACUGACCCCCAAGAGACCGAUGAUUUAAUAAUGACCAUCGCAGUUUUUAUUAAUGACUGGCAAAAUUUGGAGAUUUCUCUCAACAGUGUCCAAAUCUGGGGAAUUGUCUGUAGGAUUUAAGAUUGAAGACAUAUUCCUGAACCCAAGCUGUGGUUGCUUUGAGGUUGGUGGCACCCAACCUCAUCUCCCCAAAUCCUACACACGAUCCACAAAAUGUCUACCUAUGAUUCCCACACAGGCUGUGUUUCCCCUGCUGAAAAUGUCUUGCCCCCGCAUCUAUAGCUACCUAAAAUAUUUUCUUGAGACCCCCGGUUCCUACCUACUCUGCUCUCCGAGUUCGGUGCACAUAACUCUAUUUAAACGAUAUUGGUAAUUAUUUUUCUACUUAAUGUCGUUCUCAUAAGGCAGAAAGUACUUUUAGUUCAGGAACCAUUUAAGUAUAUGAGUACUUAUAUACUAUAGAGAUUAUAUUAUGUGACUGCCACAUAGUGUAUGUUCAAUCAAUGUUUGCAGAGGAAAAGAAGGAAAGAAGGUAGGGAGGGAGUUUGUAAAAGCGGUAAAGACCACUAACUAGGCAGACAGCAUGUCAGGCUCUUCCAUGAGGGAUUCAGGCAGAGACCACCUCGGAAGGAUCUGCAGAGCAGUUGGCAAUAGAGUUCAGUGGCUGCAGGGCUGUGAUUCCCACGGCACUUACUGGCAGAACCCCAGGGAAUCCCUCUUUCUUGGCCUAGCUAGCGACUUACCGCCCUGGAAGGCCGGCACACAACACAGUUCUGGUGACGCUUCUGCAGAGUCAGCCAGCACCAGCCUGAGGUUAGCUAUGCCAGAGAGUUCCUAGUGUCUCAGUGGCUGGACUUUGCUACCAGUUUCCUCAGAGGCCUCUCAAGUGUGAUAUCAUAUUUGAUCAUUAUUCAUAAUGAUCGAAAAGAGUCCAGCUUAGCUUGUCAAUUGCUUUUAUCUACGCAUCUUCCACAUCAGAUGAAAGAGUUUGCAGAGCUGGGUCCUCAUUCAGAAAUUCCCAAUAUGUAACUUUUGAAAGUGCUUCUUAAUUCUCAAAAUGUUACCCACUGCUGACAAAGACUAUUGUAGCUGACAAUCCUGAGUACAUCUAUAAGGAUUUUUCAAGACCCUAGAACUUGACAACACAACCUUCCACUACUGUUCCAUUCACCUGGCAAACCAAUAAAUUCCGUAUUCAGGAGAUUCAAUAGAACAUUCAGCACAUAUUCUGUGCUGCUCCCAGAAAUCAGUUUUGUAGAUGUAGAAGCUACUCAAAGAAAAUGCUUUUAAGCUCAUUGUUGAACAAGGCAAUAUAAUAGCUUGCAAUCACGGAGUUCAAGAAUAUUUGAACUAGAACGUAUCUUAGAGACAGACUGGUCUGCACUGAGGGUGCUGACGCCCAGCUAGAGAGGGUAGAUAACUUGCCCAAGGACACCCAGCUAGUGAGUGGCCAAAUGUGGCUGGAAACCAAACACAAUGACCUUAAUCCCCCAUUCUGCUGCUUAGUAUGGAUGGUCUGUGUCUAUAUAGUAAUAUAGAUACACACAUAAAAGAAUAAAGUCUCGCAUCACAUAGCCUGAACUGUCUGCAGAAACCACAGCCCUACUAAAACAAUAACCCAUUUAAGUUUAGGGCAGCCUGCUCAGGAUUAGGCCCAGAGCCUCACCAGGCCCCCAGAAAACGGAGCAUUGUUUCCAUCCAAACCUCGCAGUGAAAGGAAGACUGUCAGCUGGCAAUGACCUCGUGAGACAACUUUGGGGAGAGCAAAGGGCCGAGAAGAGAAAGGCCUCAUUCUCAUUGCAAACAGGAAAAGGAAAGAGAAAAAGAAAGCUCUGUCUCCACACAAGGUUGGCUGGGCUGGCUAUGAACUGUUCCAGUACGUUCCAUCAAACAGCCGCCUUCACGGAAUCAAGCCAAGCGCACACAGCGGGUCUGGGGCUCCGGGCCCCGGGACGCACGCGGGCCAGCUCGCACACGCGCUUGCUCUCCUGCACCCUGGGAGAGCACUUAUAUGGGCUUCAUGAGGCUAAGUAAUAAACACUUUGUCUUCACCCUGCUAUUUAUGGGUUGCUCGGGGCAUCCUGUUCUCUGCACUGCCCUCACCUGAGCAGACGGCCCCCGCAGACGCCACGUUUAAUAGGGACGACAGUAAACGUGAAAGGCUCUGCGUGCCCCACACGCUCCUCUCUUUCUGGCCGCCGGUGCUAACUGCAGAAAGAGGCCGAUCUGCAUCCAUUCACCUGUCCUCCGUCUCCCUUCCUUUCCCCCGGCUCAUUUUCUUCCUUCCAGACAUCUCCCAGCCAUCUCUCUAAGAUAUCCUUCUCUAUUUUACCACGGCCAGGAAUUCUUUCCUUCUUCGGUGACAGACCAGCCAUCUCGGAAAACAAGUACUCUGAAACCUGCAGAUCACCAACUGUCACCUCGAGCAGAGGUUCUGGGGAUCGCUGGGCGCCAGACACAUGCAGACUUAAGGAGCUGACGGGUCCUACCUGUUGCCGACUUCCAGGUUCACUCAGAAGCCGCGUGCUCCCCCCGCACGCACUGUGUUUGGGUUGCAAACUGGAGAGAUGCACGUUUGAAAGCAAGAAGUGCGUCCGGGACAACAGCCGUUUGAAAACCGCAGAGGAAGACGCUAGGGAUGUCCACUGGAUACAGGGCCAAGGUCAGCCGCUUUGGUCAGUCUGGGGGCCCUUUUCACUCAGCUCCUUUGGGGGCUGCAGGGCUCUCAGCCCUGAUGGGUCCUGCAUGAAGACAGCGAGGCGUCACGGCUGCAUCCUGUCCACCCACGGGCCAGCGCACGAGCUUGGAGCCCUGCCACCUCUCAGCCUUGUCCUCAUCUCGGGCUAACCUGUCGUAUCCUGAAAACAGACGAGACAGAGAGGGUGCGUUAACUCUGCUUCUCCCCACAGAACGCAGUUCGCCAUUGCAGCACUGAUUAAAUACAGGACAUUAUCUCACCAUAAUGCCCUCCUGGCGGUGUUCCCAGGAAAAUUCUAACUAAUCAUAAAAAUAGAAAGAAAAACGCAACCUAAA